rnacentral:rRNA from 1 species
UACGGAAGGUGCUAGCGUUGUUCGGAAUUACUGGGCGUAAAGAGCGCGUAGGCGGCUUAGCAAGUUGGGGGUGAAAUCCCGGAGCUCAACUCGGGAACGGCAUUCAAAACUGGUAGGCUUGAGUCCGGGAGAGGGGUGUGGAAUUCCCAGUGUAGAGGUGAAAUUCGUAGAUAUUGGGAAGAACACCGGUGGCGAAGGCGGCGCUCUGGGCCGGUACUGACGCUGAGGCGAGAAAGCGUGGGGAGCAAACAGG